GUGGGGCCUGUGGGCUCUGUGAUGUAACCUGGGAGGGGCGCGGGGCGGGGCCUAGGUCGCGGGCCAGCCGGGCUCUGCAAGGAACCCUUAGUGGAGCGGGAGGACGCCACAGGUCCUCGGCGGGGCUCCGCUUCCGCGAGCCGCAUGUGGCUGGUGAGCUCUGAAACGUGUCUGGCUCAAGUUGAGAUGUGCUUUACACGGAGGAUAACAGAUGAAUCAGACACUGAACCUGCCCAAUCCUAUGUGCUGGACUCAUCAUAAUCAUGCCUGGGACUUUUGAGAACUUACUGGAACUGUGCUACGUACCCUAGUUUCACUCUUGUUGCCCAGGCUGGAGUGCAACGGUGCAUUCUCAGUUCACUGCAACCUCCACCUCCCAGGUUCAAGCAAUUCGCCUGCCUCAGCCUCCCAAGUGGCUGGGAUUACAGGCUGGCUGCUCAAAGGGUAGCAAAAUGAUCAGCAGCUUUGAGAGUCUGUUAAAAAUGCAGAACCUCAGGCUGCGACCCAGAGCUGUGGAAUCAGAAUCUGCAUUUUAACAAGUUUCCCACGUGUUUGAGAAGUCCUGCUCUCAUAGAUCCCGAGGCUUACAGACUCCUCAGAACGGCGUUCAGGGAUCCUCCCCAGCGCCCACCACAAACUUCUCCUACCUUGUCCACAGCCGGUGAACGCCUUGAGACAAAGCCUGCAUCUUACACACUUCCUUAUCCUCGGUGCUCAGCACAAGUCAAACGUUUAUUGAACGAGAGAAACAGCUUUUCCUCCACGGAGGCCCUUCCAAGUAGAUUUGAAGUGGGUAUUGCAAAGGGGCCAUAUGCAAAGGGGCCAUCCAAAUGCCAGAGCCACG